AUCGAAACUGGAAAUAUUCCAAAUCUCAAAGCACAACGUUUAAACAAGGAUAAAAUUGUAACAAUGCGCGAAUCUCAGGGAAAAUGUAAAAACAAAUAAACAGAAUCAAGGCCGAAUCAAAGAUUAAUGCAGGAGGGGAGGGACUGAUCAUGGAAAUAACCCUCAAAGACCAAAUCUCAUAACUCAAAACUAAAAACCUAGACUAACAUUCAGCCAUUUGAAAAAGAAUCAAAGCAAAAAAAAAAAAAAACUAAAGCCUCCUUCCUUCCCCAUUCAGCCAAACCAAAAAACUCUUCCCUCAUCCACCAUUUAACCACCAUUUUCACUAUUAAAAUCGGUGAAUGAUGAGAAGGCCCUUUUUAUAUCCAAUAAAGCUGAGAUUCAAAGCCUAUUUUCACCUGAAAAUCCUCAUCUAAAACUCCGAUUUCGGCGGAGGAGACAAGGACCCAGACGGUACACCCACGAAGGUAUGGAGCCAGCUGGCUAAUGGCGCACGUGGGACUGGCCGGAGGCAACAGCAGUGCUGGAAGCUGCUGGAAACCAGUUGCGGCGCAAGGGAACCUUAGGGUUUCUGCCGAAAAUUUGGUUUAGUUUUGGGCCAUUGGGUGCUGGGCUAUUUGAGUUAAUUGGGUUAAUCUGAGUUUAAUGUUUGGGUCGGAUGCUGGGUUUAUUUUGGUUUGGGCUCUGUUGUAACAAAAGGGACUUAGAUUAUUAACAUUUGGUUUUAUUUAUUUAUUUAUUUUAUUUUUUUGGUUUUUUGUUAUGGGCCCGGGCGAAAUGGGCCUAUUACAAUACUAUCUAUACUAGUCCACUUAUCUUUUCAAUUACUUAAGUUAUUAUGAUAUUCAUUUCCAACGA